AGCGAACGCUGGCGGCAGGCCUAACACAUGCAAGUCGAACGAACCCUUCGGGGUUAGUGGCGGACGGAUGAGUAACACGUGGAACGUGCCUUUAGGUUCGGAAUAACUCAGGGAAACUUGUGCUAAUACCGAAUGUGCCCUUCGGGGGAAAGAUUUAUCGCCUUUAGAGCGGCCCGCGUCUGAUUAGCUAGUUGGUGAGGUAAUGGCUCACCAAGGCUACGACCAGUAGCUGGUCUGAGAGGAUGACCAGCCACAUUGGGACUGAGACACGGCCCAAACUCCUACGGGAGGCAGCAGUGGGGAAUCUUGCGCAAUGGGCGAAAGCCUGACGCAGCCAUGCCGCGUGGAUGAUGAAGGUCUUAGGAUUGUAAAAUCCUUUCACCGGUGAAGAUAAUGACUGUAGCCGGAGAAGAAGCCCCGGCUAACUUCGUGCCAGCCGCCGCCGUAAGAC
rnacentral:rRNA from 1 species